UAUGUUCUCAUCUUUUAUAUUUCGAAAUGACGAUUCCAGCGUAUCGAAGGCCUGUGUUGCCGCUAUUUGUCAUUAAGUUCUUGGUAUCUUUAUAUGUUAUACUUGCCCUUAUGCGACUUCAUGAUCUUGUUUCAAUAUUGAGCUUAAGGUUUGCCAUUUUAAUCCUAGUUCUGUUGAUUCCUUGUUUCAUUAUUUGAGUUUAUCCCAUGGUUUUCUCUUCAUUUUUUUUUGGGGGUGUUGAAUUUGCUUUCUGAUUGUUCACACAGCCUUCAAGUAUAAUAUGCUCUCAUUUAGGUUGCUACUGUUGAUAUUUGUCCUCGAAAAGAUAUGAGAGUCUUGGAAACAAGCUAACUCGGUGGGGUUUAUGUGAUAUUAUCUUGUUAUUUUCUGGAUCUAGCUAGUUCGUCAUUUUAUCCCCCUACUUCGUCAUUCUAGUCUAGUUAGGUUGCGAAGCUGCUCUCCUGUCUUACUUUUUUUUAGAUUCUGUUUAUUUUGGAUGUUUGGCUUUUGAAAUGUUUGUCACCAG
rnacentral:lncRNA from 1 species